rnacentral:lncRNA from 1 species
GAGGAGCUCUAGGCGUUUGCCCAGCGUGAGGAGGCGAUCAGGUCAGUCCGGGACCCAGGCUUCAGCAGCAUUUUCAGGGCCUGUAACCUCCAGGGGGCACUGUCUCUGGUCCAGGAGCAGGAGAGCUCUGUCUCGCCAUCUGCUCCUUCUCCAACCCCCCCCUGCCAGGCCUCAAACACGCUCUAACAAUGGUAAUGAACAUGGAGGUCUGGUGUGUGUGUGGUUCAUAUGUAAAGACGUGAGAGUCUGAAUUGUAUGUACUAAAGAUGGUAUCGAUAGCCUGUGUGUGUAGCUGUUUUGUGUUAUCCAUGUGUCAGAGGGUGGGUUUUGUGAAUUGCUUGAUUGUGUGUAAGUGUUUGGUUGUCCCUGCAGUGUGUACAUACCCUCUGCUGCCUGCUGAGACGGCCUGGCUGCUCGCCACCUGCUCCGUCUUCCUCUAUCCAGAGCUCCUGCCCCACUGCAGCCUGGACACCGCACCCUCCAUGCACCAAGAACAACUUCUACACACGCGGAGAGGACAGACUCAUUGUACUGGGGCUGAAGGACUUCAGCCAGACAGAGCUCCCCUACCAGCUCAUGUGUCGCUACCUCAUCCGUACCAAGCAGGACCAGCUACGCUCCUGUGUCAAGGAGCUGUGUGGCCACAAGGCAUCUGACAACGCUAUCAAGUUGUACUGUCAGCACAACAUAGUUCCUGCCAUGUAGGAGACCUGUGGCAGGCUGAUGCCAGGGGAAGAGCGCCCCCCAGUGGGGAGAGAUGUCCAUCAUGCCCAACUGGCUACGGCCAAAACCCCUCCAGAUGUUCCUGGACCUAUCCCCUUGCAAGGUGUCAUCCUAUUGGCCAAGGCCCCAAGCACUACAAUCCGAAGGGCCCUGCCAUUUUCCCAGGCUCCUGUCACUCCUGCCCAUGGAGCAGUGCCAUUGGUCCAGGUCUUACCCUCCAUCCCGAUGGGAACCCCCUCUCUCUGGUCAGGGCGUGGUCACAGCGUGUGUGAUGCAAACAAGGUCUAAUCAAACAGAGAAAAAAACACACCCCCGGGCACCGUUUUGCAAACUGCUGCCCAUCCAGCCGGCUACCCCAAAGCCAUCACCCCCAAGCCCCCGUGUUUGCUCUUCCAGCAGAGAAUGGUGGUACUCCCUCAUUGGUCACUAACUCUGCCCGUCGUGCCUGUGCUGCUCCGAGAUUGGCCAAGCGGCCCUCACGCUCCACCACUUCCCACCAGGACACUCAGACUGGUGGGAAGGGGUGGACCAGAGUAGCUCUCGCCCAUACUCUGCCCAGGCCCCUCCUGCCUGCCCCACCCAGCUUGUAAGUUUCCCAGAAGUAUCCCCCCACACCCCCGGAUAGCAGGCUCCAGAUCAAGUCUAGCCCUGUGUUCUUCUCUCACACGCCCUAUGAACCCUUCCCUGGACAAUCAGAACAGCGACCUGGGGCAACCAAUCCAUGCAGAGGUCAAAGAUGAAGUUGGGUUUGACCCAUCCUUAACCUACUCCCAAAACCUGGAUACACUCCGAACGCUACAAAUACAGACGCUUUCACACUCCAGUCUAGCAGCUCCCAUGCUAUUAUGUCUCCGUCAAUCAUCCAGAGUCUCUCAGCCCCUAAGAAUGACCCGUAUGUACUGGUACAAACUGUGACCCAUGGUUCUACACAAAUGCUCUGGGUGCCCAAAAACUGCCUGGUCUCAAAUGGGUCCGUGUCAUCCAAUGCUUCAGAGAAUGGGUUUCACUGGUCUGAAAGCCUCCCUUUUGGUCUGUCGCCUGCACCCCAACACAAUAUUAUUGGGUUAACAAAUGGCAUACCUUCCUGCCACUCACCACUUUACCUAAUGGCAGAAUGGGCUACCAGCAGGCACUGAGUGUCCGGUUGCCCAGCAACAGUGUUCUGACCAGUGGAGAUGCGUCCGGGCAGAGUUUAGAGGAGCAGCUCCACCGAUUGGUGGAAGGAUUACGGGAAGAGGAGGAGCUGGAAGAGAAGGAGGGUCCUCUCCUGACACUUUAAGUCGCCCUCUGGGAGCCCCUGCUCCAGCCUGGAAAGCCAUGCUGACGCCCUGGAGAGAAUGAUGGUUGGUGAGAUGGAGGAUGGGGUGGAGAAGAACAGGAUAGGGGGAGAAGAAGAGAGCUGGGGCUAGAGAGGUGGUGCAUGGCAGCUACAUCAACGCACAUACCUGACAUACCUCCUGAGGGAAAUCGUGGUGAAGAGGAUGAGAGAAGGGAAGAAGAGGAGGAAGAUUGUGGUGUGCAUGGCAUGGGCAUGCUGAGUGGAAGGACUGGAGCACAGGAACAAACUGGAGGAGGAGAGAAGAAUGAUGGAGAAAAAGGUGACCAAAGAGAAGGAGACAGUGGAGGAGAGAAACGGAGAGCAGGGUGGAGAGGGAAGAAGGAGAAAGAGAUGGACGACAGAAUGGAGGAGGAGAGAAGGAUGGAGAGAAAGACGGUGAUGGAGAGCAGGAGAGGCAAGGGGAGGAGGAGAACUUUGAUGAC